CCCUUAGAUGUCCUGGGCUGCACGCGCGCUACACUGAUGUGUCCAGUAAGCACCUAACCUCUUCCGAAAGGAACGGGUAACCUUUGCAAAGCACAUCGUGAUGGGGAUAGAUUAUUGCAAUUAUUAGUCUUGAACGAGGAAUUCCUAGUAAGCACAAGUCAUCAGCUUGUGUUGAUUACGUCCCUGCCCUUUGUACACACCGCCCGUCGCUCCUACCGAUUGAAUGUUCCGGUGAGCUCUUCGGACUGCGCGGUCUGCAGUUUCUGCGUUCCGUGCGGAAAGUGGCGCAAACCUUAACAUUUAGAGGAAGGAGAAGUCGUAACA
rnacentral:rRNA from 1 species